UACAGGGGGGGCAAGCGUUGUUCGGAAUUACUGGGCGUAAAGGGCUCGUAGGCGGCCAACUAAGUCACACGUGAAAUCCCCAGGCUUAACCUGGGAACUGCGUGUGAUACUGGAUGGCUUGAAUCCGGGAGAGGGAUGCGGAAUUCCAGGUGUAGCGGUGAAAUGCGUAGAUAUCUGGAGGAACACCGGUGGCGAAGGCGGCAUCCUGGACCGGUAUUGACGCUGAUGAGCGAAAGCCAGGGGAGCAAACAGG
rnacentral:rRNA from 1 species